rnacentral:rRNA from 1 species
GAUGAACGCUGGCGGCGUGCCUAAUACAUGCAAGUCGAGCGAACGGACGAGAAGCUUGCUUCUCUGAUGUUAGCGGCGGACGGGUGAGUAACACGUGGAUAACCUACCUAUAAGACUGGGAUAACUUCGGGAAACCGGAGCUAAUACCGGAUAAUAUUUUGAACCGCAUGGUUCAAAAGUGAAAGACGGUCUUGCUGUCACUUAUAGAUGGAUCCGCGCUGCAUUAGCUAGUUGGUAAGGUAACGGCUUACCAAGGCAACGAUGCAUAGCCGACCUGAGAGGGUGAUCGGCCACACUGGAACUGAGACACGGUCCAGACUCCUACGGGAGGCAGCAGUAGGGAAUCUUCCGCAAUGGGCGAAAGCCUGACGGAGCAACGCCGCGUGAGUGAUGAAGGUCUUCGGAUCGUAAAACUCUGUUAUUAGGGAAGAACAUAUGUGUAAGUAACUGUGCACAUCUUGACGGUACCUAAUCAGAAAGCCACGGCUAACUACGUGCCAGCAGCCGCGGUAAUACGUAGGCGGCAAGCGUUAUCCGGAAUUAUUGGGUGUAAAGCGCGCGUACGGCGGUUUUUAAGUCUGAUGUGAAAGCCCACGGCUCAACCGUGGAGGGUCAUUGGAAACUGGAAAACUUGAGUGCAGAAGAGGAAAGUGGAAUUCCAUGUGUAGCGGUGAAAUGCGCAGAGAUAUGGAGGAACACCAGUGGCGAAGGCGACUUUCUGGUCUGUAACUGACGCUGAUGUGCGAAAGCGUGGGGAUCAAACAGGAUUAGAUACCCUGGUAGUCCACGCCGUAAACGAUGAGUGCUAAGUGUUAGGGGGUUUCCGCCCCUUAGUGCUGCAGCUAACGCGUUAAGCACUCCGCCUGGGGAGUACGACCGCAAGGUUGAAACUCAAAGGAAUUGACGGGGACCCGCACAAGCGGUGGAGCAUGUGGUUUAAUUCGAAGCAACGCGAAGAACCUUACCAAAUCUUGACAUCCUUUGACAACUCUAGAGAUAGAGCUUUCCCCUUCGGGGGACAAAGUGACAGGUGGUGCAUGGUUGUCGUCAGCUCGUGUCGUGAGAUGUUGGGUUAAGUCCCGCAACGAGCGCAACCCUUAAGCUUAGUUGCCAUCAUUAAGUUGGGCACUCUAAGUUGACUGCCGGUGACAAACCGGAGGAAGGUGGGGAUGACGUCAAAUCAUCAUGCCCCUUAUGAUUUGGGCUACACACGUGCUACAAUGGACAAUACAAAGGGCAGCGAAACCGUGAGGUCAAGCAAAUCCCAUAAAGUUGUUCUCAGUUCGGAUUGUAGUCUGCAACUCGACUACAUGAAGCUGGAAUCGCUAGUAAUCGUAGAUCAGCAUGCUACGGUGAAUACGUUCCCGGGUCU